UGUGGCUCAGUGGUAGAGUGCUUGCCUCACAUGUAUGAAUCACUGGGUUCAAUUCUCAGCA
rnacentral:tRNA from 1 species